GACGAACGCUGGCGGCGUGCUUAACACAUGCAAGUCGAACGGAAAGGCCUGCUUUCCCUUGUGGAUUGCGGGUACUCGAGUGGCGAACGGGUGAGUAACACGUGAGUGAUCUGCCCCCAACUUGGGUAUAAGCCUGGGAAACUGGGUCUAAUUCCCGAUAGGACUGCAGGGUGGCGCCUGUGGUGGAAAACGAUUUUCUAGUGGUUGGGGAUGAGCUCGCGGCCUAUCAGCUUGUGGGUGGGGUAAUGGCCUACCAAGGCGGCGACGGGUAGCCGGCCGGGGAGGGUGGACGGCCACAUUGGGACUGAGAUACGGCCCAGACUCCUACGGGAGGCAGCAGUGGGGAAUAUUGCUCAAUGGGCGGAAGCCUGAUGCAGCGACGCCGCGUGGGGGAUGACGGCCUUCGGGUUGUAAACUCCUUUCGACCGCGAGGAAGCCACCUGGUUGGAAGGGUGGUGACGGUAGUGGUAGAAGAAGCACCGGCUAACUACGUG
rnacentral:rRNA from 1 species